UACGAAGGGGGCUAGCGUUGUUCGGAAUUACUGGGCGUAAAGGGCGCGUAGGCGGUGUGUCAAGUCAGGCGUGAAAUCCCGGAGCUCAACUUCGGAACUGCCUUUGAUACAGCACGUCUUGAGUCCGAUAGAGGUGGGUGGAAUUCCUAGUGUAGAGGUGAAAUUCGUAGAUAUUAGGAAGAACACCGGUGGCGAAGGCGGCCCACUGGAUCGGUACUGACGCUGAGGUGCGAAAGCGUGGGGAGCAAACAGG
rnacentral:rRNA from 1 species